rnacentral:rRNA from 1 species
CCCGUAAACCGUAGCUCAGUUCAGAUCGUAGGCUGCAACUCGCCUACGUGAAGGAGGAAUCGCUAGUAAUCGCAGGUCAGCAUACUGCGGUGAAUACGUUCCCGGGCCUUGUACACACCGCCCGUCACACCAUGGAAGUUGGCCACGCCCGAAGCCGUUACUCCAACCCUCGGGAGGAGGACGUCGAAGGUGGGGCUGAUGACUGGGGUGAAGUCGUAACAAGGUAUCCGUACCGGAAGGUGCGGAUGGAUCACCUCCUAA